AUGACACAGUAGGAUAAGCUAAGCACACUGUUGGUUAUGUGUGCCCAAGCAUUGAGGCAGUCAAAGUAGGCAAAUCCGCUUUGAUAAUGCUGGGAUGUGAUGGGGAGCGAAAUUUAGUAGCGAAGUAGCUGAUUUCACACUGUCAAGAAAAGUCUCUAUCGAGGUUAAAGGUACCCGUACCGCAAACCGACACAGGUGGGUGAGGAGAGUAUCCUAAGGCCAGCGAGAGAACUGUUGUUAAGGAACUCGGCAAAAUGACCCCGUAACUUAGGGAUAAGGGGUGCCACCAUCAGGUGGCCGCAGAGAAUAGGCCCAAGCGACUGUUUACCAAAAACAUAGGUUUCUGCUAAGUCGCAAGACGAUGUAUAGGAGCUGACGCCUGCCCGGUGCUGGAAGGUUAAGGGGAUCUGUUAGAGCAAUCGAAGCAGUGAACUUAAGCCCCAGUAAACGGCGGCCGUAACUAUAACGGUCCUAAGGUAGCGAAAUUCCUUGUCGGGUAAGUUCCGACCCGCACGAAAGGCGUAACGAUUUGGGCACUGUCUCAACAACAGACUCGGUGAAAUUGUAAUUCCGGUGAAGAUGCCGGAUACCUGCGACAGGACGGAAAGACCCCAUGGAGCUUUACUGUAGCUUGACAUUGGGUCUUGGUACUACAUGUACAGGAUAGGUGGGAGGCUUUGAAACCAGGACGCCAGUUUUGGCGGAGCCAUCCUUGGGAUACCACCCUUGUA
rnacentral:rRNA from 1 species